UCCCCUUUCCUCUGAACCUGGCAGUCGGCGUUCAGGGACUGACGAAGGUGGAUAGGCACCCUGGGGCGCACAGUUUGGCGUGCCCUUUUACAUUUGUGUGUCAGGCAAGAGCAGUCUCCAGCGGGGGUGAAACAAAUUGAAACAUCCAGGUUGGAGGUGGGUUUGACAAAGUUAGAGUCUGUCACAUCAUCAUCAUCAUCGUCCUCUUUAUCAUCGUCACUAAUGGUAGGGUGCUGUGGGCCGACACGAGCAGCAGUCCCCUUCCCUGGUGUUGGUGUUCUUCACAAAUCAUUUGGUUGUUGUGUUUCACAGUUGUCUUUGAUUUGUGUGUUCUCCUUGGUUGUCCUGCCGCCGUGGUAAGCCCCAGCCCAUACGUAUUGCUUGUCUCCGUAGAAUUGUUGCCUCCUGUGGGGAAUAAUUUAAACUUUCCUUCAAAACGAAGGAAUAAAUUGUACAUUUUUAUAAGAA